CAAAUGGUAGGCAAAGGAAAUUAUAAAACAUUUUUUUUACUAAUCUACUCAUCAAUUAAACUUUUGCUGACAUUUGUCAUUCCUGGGAUUCCACACUUGUCCAAACCUCUGACAAUUAUAACAUCUCAAUGGUUAAUUAUUGUGUACUGUGUAGCCACAGCUAACUUUUGAAGGAGUAUUCACUCAGGCCACUUUAAAUGCAACCCAAUGACUGCCAUCGUGCCCCAAGAUUGGGUUUUUAUUAGGAGGACAUGACAUGAAGCCCAUCGGACCCCAUGCGGAGGAGACUACUAGAUUCUACUGAGGUCCCAGGACAUCUGUGAGGUGGGCUGAGAUAAGAACCCAUGCCCUUCAGGUCUCAUGCAAAAACUGACCCACAGCUAUGAGAGUAUUCUACUCCCAAGGUGCACUAUGCCAAGUAGUUUGCCAGUAAUCACUGUGUACAGUGGCUCGGUUCAAAUCUAGGCCAAAGUUCUACAUUUGUUAGAGUUUAGGAUCAGUAAUGGCAAAGCCUUAAGUCAAUAGUGGCGAUAUACCAUCCUGUUUGUGGAGGGGGAGAGGGAAGGAAAGUGAAGAGGAGUUGGGAGUUCUAGUUACUCAAACAUUGGUGGCUAAUAUUUAUGUCAAUCGAGAGUGUGGCGCUUAAGAAUGUGACCGGAUGAAAAACAAUCCAUAGACUGCAUUAGAAAUCGCAAGGGAUACAUAGUGAUACAUAGGUACUACACAGGGCGACGCAGGUAGUGUCAGCAUGUUGGUGGUGUGUGUUGCUGUGAUCUUCAGCCUGGUCUCGGUGAGUCAGACGGCUCCUUCUUCUCAAGACUGCGAGAAACUCCUCAAACCCCUGGACAUGGAGACCAAUGAUCUGCUCCUAGGGAAUUGGUCUUUGGUGGCUGUCAGCAACAAUCGACCAGGCGCCAGGACUCUAAGUGAAGUUCUGUUAAUUAACGCCCGAUGGGACAUUGUACGCUGGGAAAAGAGCGACGUACUGAAAAGCACCAUUUGUGUGAAAUAUCCCGAUAGGACCACUGGGCCAAGAAAUAACAUCUCUUUGCUGAUUAGUGAAAAAUGUCUCAGUUACAGUUUCAACAUGACUCUUGAAGACAACAAGCUUAGCUGGAUGUCCGGAGUGCCUUCCACUGCCAUUUUCCUGCCCACUUGUCCAGACUGUCUUUUGACCCAGACUACAACCUCCAUCAAUGGAAACACCUACAUCUCUCUGGAACUCUACAGUGAAAGAAGGGAACUCACUACUGAUGAACUCUCUCAGUUUAAAACACAGGUUGAAUGUCUCAAAAUGCCACCUGUGUAUUUCAUCAACACAACAACAGAAAACCUAUAUAGGGGAGCUGACAGUGUGCCAAAAUUGGUCUUGAACAUUGCUUUCGGGGGGAAGUGAGUGAACACUGUUAAGCUGAAGUGGGAAUCGAACCCCUGCUGAGUCUGGACUGGUUUUCCUGUGGCGAAGAUUGUCAGUCCACACAGAGAUGCUGCUCCACAAUGCAAGUCAACAAACUGUGAUAGCCCAGUCGAGGAUUCCUUCAUCAAUCCCAAUUCCUGCUCCACACAUGACUCGGGAAAUGUCCAGGUGUCAACUCAAC
rnacentral:lncRNA from 1 species